UCGUCGAGGAGGAAGAAGAUGGAGGCGGGAGGAGAGAGAAGAGGUGCGUGGGACCCGUGCGUCAGCGAGACGGCCCCGGCCCCGCCUUUGCCACGCUGGAUAAGUGGAGGCGCAGUCCACUGGAUUACAUCUUCGCUUAUCGAAAGCGCAUUCUGUUUCUUCUUCGAGCCAAAAUACGCUUUCUGCUCUGGAAAACGUAUUUCCUGAGAAGGCGCUUUCUGUUUUUCUGGCUGAGGGCUUGUUUGUGAUGAUUCAUUACAUAUAGGUCCCUGGUAGAAAAACAACUAUAACUUUUUAACCACAACUCCAAAUGAGGUGAUUCCAAAGCCCACUUCUUCGUCUCGUCGAGCCUGUUCUGUUGGAAUCAUUUUCAUUAUGUUUCAACAUUCUGAAAAUGACCUUUUUGCCCUUGCCCCUAAUCAGCCCCCUCCGAGAGAGAACGUUUUUCUGGUAAUUCGUUCUACGAGCUUCUCGCACCUUCUCCCAGUGAUUUCUUCCACCCCAGGCAAGCCACAAUACCCACUUGCAUGAUAGUCAUGUAGUAGCCAUGGUUUUCAACUUAAAUAUUUAUUAAAUGUUUGCUUGUUUAAAAUAUGGUUAUCAUUGUUUCGGUAAUGAUUCUUGGAUAGUGCUUACUUUCUUGCUAUGUUGUUAUGCGCCUGGUUGUCAUGCCCUGCUAGUUGCUAGUAUUCCUUUCAUAUUCUUAUGCUUGCUAGUAGUACAUGUUGAUGUUGGUAAUGGUCUUCGGUGCAUGACUGCCAUCUGUCCUGAGUACCGUUGUUAUGCAUGUUCCAUUGCAUCCAGUUGGUUAAAUGCUUGCAUGAUGGCAGUGUUGAUAUGUUCUUGCAUGAUAUUUAUUGUUGAUGCUAGUGGUCAUGCUAUGUUUCGGAGAAGUAUGUACUUAUGAUGUUCAUGCUAGUCAGUAUGCCAUGCUUAGUUGGAUAUGAUUCAUUGUUGAUGUGGUGGAUAGUUAUGUGGUUCUCUCAUGAUUAUGUUGAUAUCAUGCUCAUGCAUUGUAAUUGCAUCAUGUAUUUUAUCAUGGCUCAGCAUAUUUGCAUUCAAGUUAACCGGUUUAAAUUGAACUUGAACAACUGUUGGCUGAGUCAUGGUGCCACCAUAUCGAACUGAACAGUGCAACCACACUUACCUUUAUGGGAAGGUCCUAACUGGGUCUAUUGUCGUGCCUCUCGCUGGUGCCUCCAAUGAGGGAAGGUUAUGGGCGUGCGGUACCCUGGCCCGGUAAGCAGACAUAACCUUGUGUGCCCGUCGUUGUUAUGCAUCCGGUCCCCGUGAGGGACGUUUAUGUUUUGGCCACGACGGUGGUUAUUGUGUCUUUGGUAGACACGGGGCCACCCAGGACUAGCCCAGUUGGGAGUAAGUCGGAAUGGCCGGGAGAGUGUCAUGGUAGUAGAUCGGUUUUGUCGAAACGCCGUUGGUCCACCCGAAUGGGAGUGCGAGGCCAUGGGUUCCGUAGUGUGGGUACAAUGUACUAACCUCUACAGAGUGUAUAUUAAACCUAUCGAUAGCCGCACCCGCGAAUAAGGGCCCAGUUCGUAGUUGGUCACACUAUGAGUCAACAGUAGUAAUAAUAAUGAUGCGCUUAAUAACAAUCCCGGUUCGAUGAUGAGAUAAGUUGGUUGUGAUCGCCGGAAAGAUCACCGUUUGAGACCAAGUCUUGGUCAUGGUUGUGAUCGCCGGAAUGAUCACCGUGGUAUCGAGAUACCGAGUUGUUGGAUAUCCGUGAUGUUGUGCGAGAAUCAUGGGUAAAGAUCAAGCUCCUUGUGGUCAUUUGAUGAUUACUACGGUAUUGUUUAUACCAAGCUUGAUUUGAUCCUGAGAUGAUCGUGUAAUGUCCAAGGUUGGUAAGUGAUGCAUGUGAUGGUUACGAGGUAACCCGAGCAGAAUAAAUGGUGCAUGUAGUGUCAUCAUGUUGCAUGCUAGUAUCAUCAGAUUUAUAUGUUCAUGCCAUGAUCAUAUUGUUCUAGCAAUAUUGUGUUCAUGUUGUUCAUGCAAUGUUAUCCUGAUGAUCUCAUGAUAAUUCCUGCUUAACCGGUAAUUGCCAUGCUGUUGUUUGUCUUGAAUGCUUCUGGUUAUUGUGAGCUUGCAAGUACAUUCAAUGUACUGACCUGGCGUGUCAUGUCAGUUUGCAGGUCGUGUCUGGAUUGCUUGCUUGUUUGGUGUUGUUCCUGUGUUCGCGAGCUAGGAUAAACGUUCCAGCCAGAGUCCCUGCGGAUUGGAGUCCAUCAUCGUCGUUCGUUGUUCCGCUGCUAGUAGUUGUUCCACUGCUUCGAGUUGUUAUGCUGCUUGUAUAGAGCAACCGUAGUUGGCGUAGUGUUGUCGUGCCGAUGUUAUCCAUUGUAAUAUCGGAACCCUUGUAUUCUUAUUCGAGUUGUAAUAGAGAGAUGGUUUGUCCUAUAUUAAGCAGUGCCGUAUUCCAGAAGACUUCACCUCGAUCUCUGGGCUGGAAUACGGGGCAUUCCGGUUUUCUCUGAGCCGGGGUGCCACAGAUGAAACCCUAACAAAACUAACUCGAUUACAUGGUAAAUCUCAU
rnacentral:lncRNA from 1 species